rnacentral:lncRNA from 15 species
AAGUACCAUAUACCUUUACACACAUUUAAUCUAACAUAAGUCAAUGUGUUCCAGAUGAUAAAGAAAAAAAGAAGGAGGUGAGAGAAAGGGCUCUGUUGAAAUACCAGGAAAAGCUUUCUUUAGAGUCCACAUCCAAGGCGGAGAAAGAGCACACAGAGAAAAAAUAUGCAUUGGAGACAAUGAUGAAGCAUGAACAGGAGGAAAGAGACAGGAUCCAGAAAAUUAAGGACACUGAACGAGAGAAAACCACAGCAGAGCUGGCAGCAUGGCGGCUGAGGCAGAAGGAAGAACUAAAAGUCCAGAGUCCGAGAGACAGUCCCAACCAAAUGACAGCGAAGCAGGAACCUGGAUGUUCAGAUGGAGGAAAGGUCAAACUGGGUAAGUCAUCAAAUGUGCUCCUACACUAGUUAGUUUUUAGCAUAUUCCUACAUAGUGUUGGACUUGUUACUCGUUCUUUUCAAAAGUAAUUUCAUUACUUUACUUAUUACUCCCUGCGCCAACAGUAAUUAGUUACACUAUUAAUUAUAUCACUUUUCUGCAAAUACAUUGGUAAUUGUGUCCUUUCUCCCCAAAAUUCAUACUUUGCUCGUUCGCCUUGUGCAGCUAGGCUUCAAACACAACAUUUUAAACAACUUCUGUUAUUUAGAGAUAUAGUCUGUGUUGCAAUUUUUUUGUUUUCUUAAGUUCUGUUGUCUGUGACUGGUGUUUUCCCAAGAAUCCUUCUGGAAAACGGAGAGUCAAACCACCACAUCGUCCUACCACAAGCUUAAUUCAUUCUUUGUCGCUUGCUAUUACAGUUUUGUUUGAUAAAAUCACAGUAAUGGGAAUAUUUCAAGCCGCUGAAUGUUUCCAUCUUCCAAGCCUGUUUCCUGCUUAGUGACAUGCACGAUUACAAAAAUGAAUCCGGGGAAUGUAAUUGGAUUACCGGGGGUUGGGUUAAAGCUGCAGUGGGUAACGUUGAUAGUUGAUUGUAAAAUUUAAUACCCAGGUUGUCUUAUACCAUUUCUUUGGGUUGGAGGCUUGAAGGCAGUUGAUCGUUGAAUCAACUAUCUUCCCAAACCAUCUUUAUAUCUUUCUCAGCUCUGAUUGGUUGUUUUGUUCAGGCCUGGUGGAUUCUUGUAAAUGCCAUUAGGAGCACUAGGAGUAGCCAGAGGAACCUGAUUUUUCCACACAUUAUCUGUCUCAUGUACUACUGUCGGGAUAUAGUGAAAGUUUCAGUGAAUAUGAAAAAAAGUUAUUUUUUAUAAAAGUUACCUACUGCAGCUUUAAUACGGUAAUAUUAUUACUAAAAUGUAUUAGUAAUUAGUUACACUCUAGUUACUGGAGAAAGUAAUAUUUUUACUGUGAUAUUAUUACUAGUAAUGCCUUACCGCCCAACACUGUUCGUUAAAUGAAAUUAAUCAAUUAUCUAAAUUACAAACAUGUCUUAA